GACGUAGGGCGCGAGCGUUGUCCGGAUUUAUUGGGCGUAAAGAGCUCGUAGGCGGUUCCGUAAGUCGUGAAGUCAAAUCUCUGGGCUCAACCCAGAAUCGCUUCCGAUACUGCGGUGACUGGAGUCCGGUAGGGGAGUGUGGAAUUCCUGGUGUAGCGGUGAAAUGCGCAGAUAUCAGGAGGAACACCAACAGCGAAGGCAGCACUCUGGGCCGGUACUGACGCUGAGGAGCGAAAGCAUGGGGAGCGAACAGG
rnacentral:rRNA from 1 species